AUUGCCCUAGUAACGGCGAGUGAGCGGCACAGCUCAAAUUUGAAAGCUAGCCUUCGGGUUCGCAUUGUAAUUUGUAGAGGAUGCUUUGGGGUGGCCGCCUGUCUAAGUUCCUUGGAACAGGACGUCAUAGAGGGUGAGAAUCCCGUAUGUGACAGGAAAUGGCGCCCUAUGUAAAGCUCCUUCGACGAGUCGAGUUGUUUGGGAAUGCAGCUCUAAAUGGGAGGUAAAUUUCUUCUAAAGCUAAAUACCGGCGAGAGACCGAUAGCGCACAAGUAGAGUGAUCGAAAGAUGAAAAGCACUUUGGAAAGAGAGUUAAAAAGCACGUGAAAUUGUUGAAAGGGAAGCGCUUGCAAUCAGACUUGUCUUUAACCGUUCGGCCGGUCUUCUGACCGGUUUACUCGGUAAUCGACAGGCCAGCAUCAGUUUCGGCGGUCGGAUAAAGGCCUUGGGAAUGUGGCUCUGCCUUCGGGUAGAGUGUUAUAGCCCAGGGUGUAAUACGGCCAGCCGGGACUGAGGUCCGCGAUUCGUCUAGGAUGCUG
rnacentral:rRNA from 1 species